rnacentral:rRNA from 1 species
UACAGAGGUCCCAAGCGUUGUUCGGAUUCAUUGGGCGUAAAGGGUGCGUAGGCGGCGCGGUAAGUCGGGUGUGAAAUCUCGGAGCUUAACUCCGAAACUGCAUUCGAUACUGCCGUGCUUGAGGACUGGAGAGGAGACUGGAAUUACGGUGUAAGCGGUGAAAUGCGUAGAUAUCGUAAGGAAGACCAGUGGCGAAGGCGGGUCUCUGGACAGUUCCUGACGCUGAGGCACGAAGGUCAGGGAGCAAACGGG